UCCGGCUUAUCACCGGCAGUUUCCUUAUAGUUCCCGGCAUUACCCGCUGGCAAAUAAGGAUGAGGGUUGCGCUCGUUGCGGGACUUAACCCAACAUCUCACGACACGAGCUGACGACAGCCAUGCAACACCUGUGUGUGGUCCAGCCGAACUGACGAAAACAUCUCUGUUUCCUACGACCACCAUGUCAAGGGUUGGUAAGGUUUUUCGCGUAACAUCGAAUUAAACCGCAUGCUCCACCGCUUGUUCGAGCCCCCGUCAAUUCCUUUGAGUUUUAACCUUGCGGCCGUACUCCCCAGGCGGAGUGCUUAACGCGUUAGCUGCGAAACCGAAAGAAUUUCUCCCGAUAUCUAGCACUCAUCGUUUACAGCGUGGACUAC
rnacentral:misc_RNA from 1 species